rnacentral:rRNA from 1 species
UUAAGCGACUAAGCGUACACGGUGGAUGCCCUGGCAGUCAGAGGCGAUGAAGGACGUGCUAAUCUGCGAAAAGCGUCGGUAAGGUGAUAUGAACCGUUAUAACCGGCGAUGUCCGAAUGGGGAAACCCAGUGCAAUUCGUUGCACUAUCGUUAACUGAAUACAUAGGUUAACGAGGCGAACCGGGGGAACUGAAACAUCUAAGUACCCCGAGGAAAAGAAAUCAACCGAGAUUCCCCCAGUAGCGGCGAGCGAACGGGGAGCAGCCCAGAGUCUGAAUCAGCUUGUGUGUUAGUGGAACGGUCUGGAAAGUCCGACGGUACAGGGUGAUAGUCCCGUACACCAAAAUGCACAGGCUGUGAACUCGAAGAGUAGGGCGGGACACGUGGUAUCCUGUCUGAAUAUGGGGGGACCAUCCUCCAAGGCUAAAUACUCCUGACUGACCGAUAGUGAACCAGUACCGUGAGGGAAAGGCGAAAAGAACCCCGGCGAGGGGAGUGAAAAAGAACCUGAAACCGUGUACGUACAAGCAGUGGGAGCACCUUCGGGUGUGACUGCGUACCUUUUGUAUAAUGGGUCAGCGACUUAUAUUCUGUAGCAAGGUUAACCGUAUAGGGGAGCCGCAGGGAAACCGAGUCUUAACUGGGCGUUAAGUUGCAGGGUAUAGACCCGAAACCCGGUGAUCUAGCCAUGGGCAGGUUGAAGGUUGGGUAACACUAACUGGAGGACCGAACCGACUAAUGUUGAAAAAUUAGCGGAUGACUUGUGGCUGGGGGUGAAAGGCCAAUCAAACCGGGAGAUAGCUGGUUCUCCCCGAAAGCUAUUUAGGUAGCGCCUCGUGAAUUCAUCUUCGGGGGUAGAGCACUGUUUCGGCUAGGGGGUCAUCCCGACUUACCAACCCGAUGCAAACUACGAAUACCGAAGAAUGUUAUCACGGGAGACACACGGCGGGUGCUAACGUCCGUCGUGAAGAGGGAAACAACCCAGACCGCCAGCUAAGGUCCCAAAGUCAUGGUUAAGUGGGAAACGAUGUGGGAAGGCACAGACAGCCAGGAUGUUGGCUUAGAAGCAGCCAUCAUUUAAAGAAAGCGUAAUAGCUCACUGGUCGAGUCGGCCUGCGCGGAAGAUGUAACGGGGCUAAACCAUGCACCGAAGCUGCGGCAGCGACACUAUGUGUUGUUGGGUAGGGGAGCGUUCUGUAAGCCUGCGAAGGUGACCUGUGAGGGUUGCUGGAGGUAUCAGAAGUGCGAAUGCUGACAUAAGUAACGAUAAAGCGGGGUGAAAAGCCCGCUCGCCGGAAGACCAAGGGUUCCUGUCCAACGUUAAUCGGGGCAGGGUGAGUCGACCCCUAAGGCGAGGCCGAAAGGCGUAGUCGAUGGGAAACAGGUUAAUAUUCCUGUACUUGGUGUUACUGCGAAGGGGGGACGGAGAAGGUUAUGUUAGCCGGGCGACGGUUGUCCCGGUUUAAGCAUGUAGGCUGGUUAUCCAGGCAAAUCCGGAUAAUCAAGGCUGAGGUGUGAUGACGAGGCACUACGGUGCUGAAGUAACAAAUGCCCUGCUUCCAGGAAAAGCCUCUAAGCAUCAGGUAACAUCAAAUCGUACCCCAAACCGACACAGGUGGUCAGGUAGAGAAUACCAAGGCGCUUGAGAGAACUCGGGUGAAGGAACUAGGCAAAAUGGUGCCGUAACUUCGGGAGAAGGCACGCUGGUGUGUAGGUGAAGCCCCUGCGGGUGGAGCUGAGACCAGUCGAAGAUACCAGCUGGCUGCAACUGUUUAUUAAAAACACAGCACUGUGCAAACACGAAAGUGGACGUAUACGGUGUGACGCCUGCCCGGUGCCGGAAGGUUAAUUGAUGGGGUUAUCCGUAAGGAGAAGCUCUUGAUCGAAGCCCCGGUAAACGGCGGCCGUAACUAUAACGGUCCUAAGGUAGCGAAAUUCCUUGUCGGGUAAGUUCCGACCUGCACGAAUGGCGUAAUGAUGGCCAGGCUGUCUCCACCCGAGACUCAGUGAAAUUGAACUCGCUGUGAAGAUGCAGUGUACCCGCGGCAAGACGGAAAGACCCCGUGAACCUUUACUAUAGCUUGACACUGAACAUUGAGCCUUGAUGUGUAGGAUAGGUGGGAGGCUUUGAAGCGUGGACGCCAGUCUGCGUGGAGCCAACCUUGAAAUACCACCCUUUAAUGUUUGAUGUUCUAACGUUGGCCCCUGACCGGGGUUGCGGACAGUGUCUGGUGGGUAGUUUGACUGGGGCGGUCUCCUCCCAAAGCGUAACGGAGGAGCACGAAGGUUAGCUAAUCCUGGUCGGACAUCAGGAGGUUAGUGCAAUGGCAUAAGCUAGCUUGACUGCGAGCGUGACGGCGCGAGCAGGUGCGAAAGCAGGUCAUAGUGAUCCGGUGGUUCUGAAUGGAAGGGCCAUCGCUCAACGGAUAAAAGGUACUCCGGGGAUAACAGGCUGAUACCGCCCAAGAGUUCAUAUCGACGGCGGUGUUUGGCACCUCGAUGUCGGCUCAUCACAUCCUGGGGCUGAAGUAGGUCCCAAGGGUAUGGCUGUUCGCCAUUUAAAGUGGUACGCGAGCUGGGUUUAGAACGUCGUGAGACAGUUCGGUCCCUAUCUGCCGUGGGCGCUGGAGAAUUGAGGGGGGCUGCUCCUAGUACGAGAGGACCGGAGUGGACGCAUCACUGGUGUUCGGGUUGUCAUGCCAAUGGCACUGCCCGGUAGCUAAAUGCGGAAGAGAUAAGUGCUGAAAGCAUCUAAGCACGAAACUUGCCCCGAGAUGAGUUCUCCCUGAGACUUUAAGUCUCCUGAAGGAACGUUGAAGACGACGACGUUGAUAGGCCGGGUGUGUAAGCGCAGCGAUGCGUUGAGCUAACCGGUACUAAUGAACCGUGAGGCUUAACCUU